GGGAGAGGGAGGCAGGUUCAAUUAUCUAAACAAAGAAAUCAUGGCGGAGUGUUUACAUUUGGCAGCCCAAAGCCUCUUGGAUUACGGAACCCCCCCCAAACCCAAGCGGCCCCCCCCGGCCCCCCGCAGUCGCGGCUCGCCGGAGCCCGCCCGCCGACACCUCGCCGCGGCCCGGAGCUUGAACACGCAGCUUUGAAGAGAUCUUGGGACUGAAGGACUGGGCUGAGACAUUUCUAAGGCAGCUGAUGAGAACAGAGGAAGGAGCAGAUGAUGGCACCAAAUCCUGCCCUGGAGCUGAGCAGGGCUCAAGGAGCAGCCCCGUGUGGAGAAGCAGAUGGAGCUCUGCAAAGUAUCAGCAUGCUGGAUUUUAUGGAGCAUUUCUGGAACUGAGGGACACCUGUCUGGGAAUUUCCAGGUCAGGUAACCUUGCUCACUCUUGUGGAAAGCCUGAGGAGCUCCAGGAGGGAUUUAAAGAAGAGAUCUUCCUCUCCUGUUCAGCAUGCAGGUGGUAAAACACUGACUGCCAUGAACUUCAUCAGGAGAAAAAAAAAAAAAAAAAAAAAAAGAAAAAGCUGUGGUUUGGAAGCAGCUGGAUGGCAAACUGCAGACUGGGAUGUGGCUGCCAAAACCACCACAAGGAGUCUGGGGCAUAGAGGCGUUUGUGGAGCAUUCUGUUUGCUAAUUGCUCGUGGAAUUUCAGUGUCUGGAUUUCUUUACUUCAACUUUUCCAUUCUUCAGACUUGAGCCAAGUUGAAAGAGAAGAAGGGAAUCUGCCAGGUGGCUGCAUCUUGGAACACAGGCCUUGCUUUCCUGUGCCAUUUUGGAGCAGUCCUGUGUGUGGGAGAAGUACUGCUGUGGGACGCCUGAUGAAAAGAGGUGGUUGAACAACUGGCCUUCAGCUCUGUCACCUUCUUUUCAGUGCUUGCAAAAAAAAACAAAACCAAAAAAACCCCAAAACAAAAAAGACAAAAAAAGAUAGUUUAUGUGCAGCUCAGGAAGCUCUCAGCAAUGAUGGUGUCUGUGUUUUAAUAACAUAUCUACCCAAAAUGACACUUCUUCUAAUACUCACUGAGAAAAAGAAGGCAGAGCAGCACACAAGGCACUGCUAUUGCAGCAACAAACAGCCACACUACCAGGUAUUUAUUUUUCAAUGUACACAAUUAUUGGGGGAGAAUAAAAAUUUUUCUCUGACAGAGCUGUAGAAAGCCUUGUGCUUCCCCUACUCCCAUGAUCCUGACAAGAAACACCUCACAAAUUCUAAUAAACAGAGAAUAGAAAUAAAUACUUUAACUACACAGCAUCAGGUUUCAAAUGGCUUCCUGAAUCAGAAAGUGCUGCUAGUCCAUCUUCCUUAUUUCCACACUCUGUAAUGGUGGCUCUCCAAAAGUCAAAGUGAGAUGGAUACUACAAGGAUCACAGACACUACACUGGGAAACCAAGUAUCAGUGGAUACAUCCAGAUUUAUGGUAGGUGAUGGCAGUAAAGUGAAAGUAAAACUGUUUGCACAGUCUGUAUUGUUGGCCAUUACUGUGUAUUUGCCCUUUUUUCUUGCUUAGCUGUGGCUGGAAGAAUGGAAAAUUGUACCUUCUGUACAGUAUUAGGAGACACUUUCUGAUCGUAAGGUCAAUCAGACUGGUUUAGCUGCUUGAGGUAUUUAUGGCACAAUCACUCAGUGUCUUUAAGGAAAGGUUAGAUACAUUUAUGGGAAAGGUAUUUUGCAGAAGCUUUCCUGCUUCAUAGAGGUCUUGGACAAAAUGACCCAGGAGGCCCCUUCCAAGUCUAUCAAAUGUGGUUCCCUGAUUGAUGCUGUUUCCCCCCAAAGUCUUUUGAAAACACAAAGCACUGUUAUAAAAUUUAAUAUGAUACACUCUAUAACUUUAACACAAUGCCAUUUUCUUAUAGGAAAUGGUUAGCUGGUAGCACAGGAGCCUCGUGCAAGAGGAAGAAAUGUAGAAAAAAAGAAAUUGCAGUGCAGUUUCUCUGCCGAGGGAUAUCGACUGUAACAUUUACUCUGAGUCUGAGCAUGGACCCUCAGCUGUGCAGGGGGACACCAAGCCAGGGAAGGAUAUAAGGAACCCAGGCUGGGGAAUUUAUUUCUCUAGAAAAGCCUGAGGUAAUUUUCUGUGCUGUGCAAUAAUCACUCCCUCAGUGCAGGGAAGCAAAUGGACACCCAGCUCUCCUUGUAACUCAUGGCCUGGUGCUGUUUCCCCUGGGCCCCAGGCAGAGGGACCGGGAGAUCCCAGCCCUCCUGCAGGGCUCAGGUGUGUCCUGCACUAUCUGCACCAGUGAGGACACCCCACAAUGGGAAGGGCCUGUUCUGUAACUCCUCACUCUCUGCCUUGGCUCUGUCCUGGCCUGCUGCCAUCCCAGCAGCACCACGGAGCAGCAGAGCAAAUCCUGAAAACUGCGAGCGCCAGAAUCUGCACGUCUGAAAAAGGGCAGCAGCACCCUGGUAACGUUUGUCUGCUGAUAGAGACUCAGAAAGAGAGCUUGGGCCACAUCUCCCUUGGCUGAAUACAGGAUUGUUUGUCAGGCAGAAUGCUCUCCAGGCCUUCUAUGCUUCCACCAAACCAUUCAGUAAAAGGAUAAUAUUUUUCUCCCUACUACACUUCCCCUUUUUUUAAACAUUUUAGGAAUGUUUCCUAAAUUGAGAGGUUUUUUUUCUUUGAAACCAUUAACAUAUUUAAAAACUCAAGUCAUGUAAUGAUUUAAAACAAAAAAGAAAAAAAAAAAACCAACCAGAUUCUCUGGGCCAUCUGGUUGAAAUGCUCUGGUCAGUGUAAGUUUUAAUUAAAAAAAAAAAAAAUACUCCAAAUUUUAUUGAAUUGGAGUUUACUCUCAAAAUCUUUUUAUACUAACCUUUUUUUUUUUUUUUUUUUUUUUUUUUUCACUCCAGCUGAUUUAGUUAAAGGCCAAACUCUUCUUCCAAAAAUCAGCUCCCUGCCCCCAUCUUCUUGGGAUAGCCCUGACAGGAAAUAACAACAUCCAUACACAGACACUCUGAAGCCUUUUGAAGUCUCACAAAUGUGAGCUGUUCCUUUUUGCAGAGCAGGCUGGGAUUAACUCUUUUAUUAACCUUAUAACCUCAUCCAAGAGAAAGGAAAAUAGCCAAUCCCUUUUUUAAUUUGGAAGCCUGCCGCCCUCUCUACCCAAACAUUUGUGAGCUCACCCUAGAGACAGGGGCAAAAGAGCCCAUGGAAAGCCUCCUCUCCCUGAGAAACUCCCCAAAUCCCCUACUGGGCCCUCCUGUUAGGUUGCACUCAGUGUCAAAGUUUGUGUUUUCACUGGAAAAUAUUUCUCCUUUACAGGAGGGUUGUGUAUCUCUCUAUAUUGGUGGGAGCAAAUAACAACCUUUUGGUCCUUUUCAACAUGUUGCAUCAAUGUAUUUUCCUGAUUCCCGUGUCAAAAAAGUGACUUUUAGCAGAAUGAAAAAUCUGACCUGGGUAUAAUUCUGACAGUGCUCCAAUUGUUCAUCCUUAGCUCCAUCCCUGCACUGCAGUGCAGAGUAAGAGGCUCACGUUGUAAUAGCUCUUCUCACCAGAGUCAAAAUGGUAAAAAUUAGCUCAGAGACUGACAUGGGCAGGAAUUUCAAAGGCAGGAAAAUUUAUCUCCUGCUCUUUGGCUUACACUAUGGUACACUGUAGUGGCUGCAAGAUUUAACUUCCAAGCAUCCCAUCUAUAUAAAUCCUAGUGGACAACAACUCCACAGCUUCAUUUUUUUAGGGUGUUGAGCUCAGCAGCUGGAAUCUGCCAGGGAGUGAUGGUCAAGAUAAGGAUGGAGAAAGACUUUCCUGUAGCCUUCAGGUGUUGGUGAAGGGUCAGGAUUAGGGAACAGCCAAAGCCAGAGCUCUGUGUGUUACACAAGCUUGCAGCCCUCUGGUGUAAGGACCACGGGUUUGGGCAAGGCUUGCCUCUGCUCAGCUCAGCUCAGCCCAGCCCAGCCCAUUACCUGCCCUGAUGAUACAGCCCCUCUUGGGCUUUCUGCUUUUAGAAGAUUUACACUUGGUUUAAAUCUCAAUUGAAAGCUCCACUUUAGCUUUUCAGAGGCCGAGACACUUAAAAAUCUCCGAUGGGAAGGACAGGUGAGGAAAGCAGAAUAUCUCUCCCUUGCAAAGGCAUUCAGAUGCCACUUGGAUGAGGAGUUUCCUGCUACUUUGCUGGAUAAACAGACACAUCUCAGUUGUAACACCAACAGGCAGAGAAAAGAGGCAGUGGGAAGAGUAAGAGGCACCAGAAUAAAAAAGGCAGGAUCCAACUGAAAUUUUACCUUCUUUGAUCUUUGAAAAUAGGAAAACCCAUUCGGGAUCAGGAAUUUCCAGACUGGGCUGUAUGCACCAUUAAUUGUUCCAUGAAGCAGAGCUGGUCUGCUAUUGUUGCAUCCUCUAAAAACAGCUGUUACUAUGAGCUCUUUGGGGCUCAGCAACUCCAUUUCCCGAUUUUCACUUAGUACUUCAGUAAUCAUAUACAAAUAACAGUAAUGAUAAUCAUAACAAUACCUGGCUUGCCAUUAUGUUGUACUCAGUCUUUGUGAUGCCUCUCUCACCAUAAAAUCUGUGUAUUAAACACUUUAGUUGAAACUCUUAAUAAAACAGAUAUUUUUACUUGUGCUGUUGUAUCCACAUAGUGUUCACAAGGCACUUUACAGAAUCAAAUGAAAGUAGCCAGUCUGAUCCUUCUGUAGAGGAUUUUGUGCAUCUCAGCAGUGCAGAACAAAGCUGCUGUAUAGACAAUUGUCAAACAUACCAUGUUUUGGGGUUUGUC